UGACCCCAGGUCAGGCGGGAUUACCCGCUGAGUU
rnacentral:rRNA from 1 species